AUUAAUCCACUUUUUUCAGGCAUUGGCUGUUCAACCUUGGUAAAGGAGUGGACACAGAACAAGUCACGUCCCGCCAGUUGCCUAAAAGUAUUGGCUGUGGCAAAAACUUCCAUGGAAAAGAGGCACUAAACACACAAGAGAAGGUACAAAAGUGGAUGCGCAGCCUUGCUGAUGAAUUGUCGGAAAGAUUAAUGAUGGAUCAAACAGCAAAUAAAAGAAGAGCAAAGACAAUUACAGUCAGUGUAAGAUUAGAUGGAGAUGAACGAUGGACUUCCCUCUCGAGAUCAUGUAGUCUUCCAUCAUACAGUGCAGAGCGCAUAACCCAAGUAGCCAUCUCACUCAUUCAGCACACCAAUGAAGCACCACCAAAGGAUUCAGUGUGGUUAGUAACUUGAUAUGUUAUCUGAAACAGGCU